GACGAACGCUGGCGGCGUGCUUAACACAUGCAAGUCGAGCGGAAAGGCCCUUUCGGGGGUACUCGAGCGGCGAACGGGUGAGUAACACGUGAGUAAUCUGCCCUUGGCUUUGGGAUAACUACCGGAAACGGUGGCUAAUACCGGAUACGACCACUCCUUGCAUGAGGUGGUGGUGGAAAGUUUUUUCGGCCAGGGAUGUGCUCGCGGCCUAUCAGCUUGUUGGUGGGGUAAUGGCCUACCAAGGCUUCGACGGGUAGCCGGCCUGAGAGGGUGACCGGCCACACUGGGACUGAGACACGGCCCAGACUCCUACGGGAGGCAGCAGUGGGAAUAUUGGACAAUGGGCGGAAGCCUGAUCCAGCAACGCCGCGUGAGGGAUGACGGCCUUGGGUUGUAAACCGUCUUUCAGUACCGACGAAGCGCCGAUGAUGGUGGUGACGGUAGGUACAGAAGAAGCACCGGCAAC
rnacentral:rRNA from 1 species